CCCCACCAAGCCCUGUCCGGCUACGCGUGGGCCCCUUGGCCCGGGGACCAGGAUGCUAGGCAGUGUUAUGUUUCGUGUUGGUUGGUUGGUUGGUUUUUCGAGUGUUUUGUUUUUGAGGUGGGAUUUGCCCAGCAAGUAAGUCACCAAAAUCCCAGUCCUGCGCGGCUCGUAUUUAAGAUACGAUCUGCUGCGGGAGGUCGGCGUGCGAGGGUGCUUGUGAAGCGGAGUCCGGGGCGAUGCAGACGCCGAUGCCGAUGCCGGGGCGUGCCGGGGAUGGAAGAAGACGAGGGGCGCCAGGAGGCCAGGGCGGCUUUACUCUGGAACAGGCCGGAUCCAGGAAUAAAGGCAGGUUCUUGACUGGUAAGGUUUGUGGUCUUGGACAAGUUUGGUAAAAUCCCGUCUUUCUACACUUGGAGCAAGAGUUAAUAUUCACAAGACGCACGGGAAACCCACUGCUGGCCCUUCUGCAUCGGCUUCUGCAAGAUUGGAGACAUUAUCUGAGGCCUGCUGAAGAUAGUGAUUCUUUGGCUGCAGAUGUAAACGUCUCUUGCCUGUGUUGUGAAUACACACAAAAACAUAAUGUAUGUAUCUUAACUUAUCUGGGAUGCAAACCUCUGUCCAUUGAAUUAUUGAAACAGAAAGCAAUAAACGUAGUUUCACCA